GGAAUUUCCCUUGACUUGAGGUAACACUAAAUGGACGUGGAGUAAUAGCUCUCUUUGUUGCAGCAACGUAUAUUGGGUGACCCUCUUUUCUCAACAAGACUUGCAGGGUUUCCAAGACCCAUCUUAUUUGGCUCUUCAAAAGAUUAAGUUCCUCCUUCAGUGCUUAUUGGCUUUUCCUUAGCUCGUCCAUGAUCUAUGUUUUG
rnacentral:lncRNA from 1 species